rnacentral:tRNA from 1 species
GUCCCUGUAGCUUAAACCCCAAAGCAUAACACUGAAGAUGUUAAGACGGUAAUUACAAUACCCAUGGACA